UACGAAGGGGGCGAGCGUUGUUCGGAAUCACUGGGCGUAAAGGGCGCGUAGGGCGGCCCUCUUAGUCGCGUGUGAAAGCCCCGGGCUCAACCUGGGAACGGGCGCCGCGAAACGGGAGGGCUGGAAGUUCGGGAGAGGAGAGUGGAAUUCCCAGUGUAGGAGGUGGAAAUUCGUAGAUAUUGGGAAGAAACACCGGUGGCGAAGGCGGCUCUCUGGACCGAGACGUGACGC
rnacentral:rRNA from 1 species